CAGCAGCCGCGGUAAAACGGAGGGUGCAAGCGUUAAUCGGAAUUACUGGGCGUAAAGCGCACGCAGGCGGUCUGUCAAGUCGGAUGUGAAAUCCCCGGGCUCAACCCGGGAACUGCAUUCGAAACUGGCAGGCUAGAGUCUUGUAGAGGGGGGUAGAAUUCCAGGUGUAGCGGUGAAAUGCGUAGAGAUCUGGAGGAAUACCGGUGGCGAAGGCGGCCCCCUGGACAAAGACUGACGCUCAGGUGCGAAAGCGUGGGGAGCAAACAGGAUUAGAUACCCGGGUAGUCCCUGUCUCUUAUAC
rnacentral:rRNA from 1 species